CUUGCUUUGGCGUAGUCUGCGUGGCUGUGGGAUUCAUAUGUUUUGGGCUUCCGUACUGGUCUUGUUGCUUAGCCGUUGAAACUCAAGCUUAUAAAUUAAUUAAAAUAUUAGUCUCUUUUACAUAACUUACAUGUUUAAAAGUAUAUUGAAGAUUUUGGUAGUUUUUUUCUUUUGACAACAAGAUUUUGGUAGUUUUCUAUCAGUCUUUUGGCUUCUUUUUUUUAAACACGUCUUUUGGCUAUUUCAGAUAUUUUUAUUAUCUGAUUUUUAAAUAUUUUCUGUUAAUUUUUAUUUAAAGUUUUUAUUUUAGGAUUGGGUGCUUUCGGACAUUGGGUAUGACCCAAUUCUAGCCAAAUCCAUGAAGAAUCAAAUCAAAUCCGACCUGAAAAUUAAAAGAAUUUAAAUGAGAUUUAUGAACAUGAUCCGAAGAUCCAAAAAAUAGACCGAACUCGAAUUCUAAAAUGCCGAGGCCUAAAUAUCAACUUUUCCUUUCGGUUCACCAUUAUUAACUGAUCCGUUAUAUCCGUUGGGCUGUGUUUGUUGCAAGGCUCUAGAAACCCAUAGAGAGAAGUGGCUAAUCUAUAUUAUAAUAGAUCAGUUUUUGCUCACUCCUCAGCGCGGCACGUCAUUGUUUUGUGGACCCCACUUUUAAAAAGUGUAAAAAAGCGUCAAGUCCAUGGCUCGAACCCGGGUUAUUGAGAUAUAAACACCAACAUUUAUACCACUAAACUAACUGAUACAUUUGUACAUUGAUGGCCGAACCUAAUAUAUAUUUAUGAAGGUCGAAAGCCCUUGCUUCUUCGGCUUCCUCUGAGGGUUGGACCUACAAGUGUGUUAUGGAUUUCAUUUUUAAAUGAGAUUCAUCACGUUAUAUGAAAAAAACUUAAGUUUGCAACAAUUAUGGUUUUCCUAUAUUAUAAAUUGUUGUAGUUUAAUAUGGGUUCUUUUCAUCUUGUCUCAAACAAGUCUGAGUUACAGAGUUGCGCCGUGUGUAUAUUCGUAAUCUAUUUUUUCACCGGUGAACUCUUCAUGUCCCCAUCUUAAAUCGCUUGAUCAUAAAUGUUCCUGAUUUGUAGCCCCUCUGUAAACCAUAUAUAUAUGAUUCUCAUCUUUGAUGAACCCAAUCUGCAUCUCCACAAAACUCAUUGAUUCCUCUUAGCUUUAACCAUCUUCUAGAAAAUGUUUUUCUCUACCUCUCCAGUUCGUCAAAUCGGCGUCCCGGCGUCCGUCACUCAACCUUCGAGUCUCUCCGUCCUGGUCUUAGUAGUCAGAGCAUAGCCUCUGGCUUCCUCCGCUUCUGGGAUUCCCUGAACUUCAAGAAAGACAGGGAGUUUGUGGGAAUCACGGUUCUUUUCCUCGAUGAAAAGGUAAGUUAAUCUUCGAUCUAUCACACUUAUUUAACAUAAUUGUUUUAAUUUAUUUCCUGAUUCUUUGUUGGAUAAACUAUUUGCAGAUUCUGUGAUUCAUGGGUUUACUCCCAUCGGACGUGCUAAUCAUUACAUGCCAUCUUUGAAAGCAGAUUCCAUUGUGAAAGUCGAUCGUUUUGAGGUUGCUAGGUGCUCCAAGUGAUUGCGAACACAAACCUAGAAAUUGGUAAACAUAGCAUAUUUGGCAGCUCCAAGCAAGAUUACAAUCAGGCAAAUUCAAGUGGAAUGACAUACCAACAACUGAAACUGCCUCUGUCAUGGAUAGUUUUCUCCCAAGAAUUGCAUUGACUAUGGUUUCCGGGAAGAAAAAGAUCUUGCUCCUGAAAAAAGACCGUGACAACCCUGUUGUAAGAUUUUAGUUUGUGCAGAACAAAAAACGUUGAUUUAUUUUCUAUUUAGUAUAGUGAUAGUUGUUGACAAUCAUUAGUUAUUUGCCAAUAUGUUUUUUAUGCGGCAUUUCAGAACUCUCUAUUCCAAGCAGAACAGCAGAUGGAAGCUAAUUUUUCUGGAAGCUCCUCGACUUCAAGACAGAAUCAGAAGAUAGAUGUUGGUGGGAGGUUAAUCAAGGGAAUACUUCAGAGAAGUGAGACGGUCUAGCCAGACUUCAUCUUUUGUACAACCUGAGCAAAGAGUGGAACCCACAAAACACGAGAGAAGAAAAAACAAAACACGAAAUUAACAUAUUCAGAUCUUCUCUCUUGCAUGUCUAACAUCUGGCGGUAACACGAGAGAAGAAAAAACAAAACACGAAAUUAACAUAUUCAGAUCUUCUCUCUUGCAUGUCUAACAUCUGGCGCCGACGAAACUCAACACCCACGGCAGACGAAGCUGAUGCAAGUAAACCUCUCAUCAAUCAUGCUUAAAAUCAAUCUACGCUUUUCAAUCUCACAAACUAAGAAACAAUUUUACCUACAUGAAUCGGGAAAUUAGUGCCCACAUUCCCGACAUAGAGAAAAAAAGGAGUUGAAGUCCUAACAGUUUUUUCAGUAUUAGACUAAAC